rnacentral:tRNA from 1 species
GGAAAUUAAUUACCCCUCAAUGA